UUAUACUGGGAGUGACUGGACCCAGUUGGGAUCCAACUGGAACUUUGACCAGUUGUACUGGAAUCAACUGGUUCCAGUUGGAUUCCAACUGGAACAUUGACCAGUUGUACUGGUAGCAACUGGUUCCAGUUUGGAUCCUAAUGAAAUGGUGACAGAAGUUUAACUGAAAGCAAGUAACAUGCAGUGCUUGCUAAGACAGCAGCAGCUAGUCUAUAUACUUAUACUGAGUAAUUAUGUUUGGCAGUUUGAGCAACCCUAGCAAAAAUUCUAAUAGAAGUUUGUAAUAAUUAGUCUAAUACAGUUUUGUAUUAGGACGUGUAUAAGUUUUGUAUUAGACCAAUUGACAGAAAUGUCUAUUAGUCGUACUGAUUUACCUGUAAGAACAAUGGCCCUGUGUAUUGUACUUAUAAGUCUUACACAAUCAGUGUUGCAUGUCUACUAGUUUCUCCAUUAGACUAAUGGUUCUAUUGGCCUUAUCCUGAUUGUUGCUGGUUUGAUACAACAUGUAUUGCUGGAUUCCGCAGCUCUUGUUUGCUGGUGAAAGUUAAUUGAUAAAUAAUUAGACUAGCGGACCGCUUGCUUGCAUGGAGAGGCACGUGUUUCUAAUUAAUCACUGAAUAAUUAAAAAUUCUGCUGUACAAUUGUGCAGCAGAUUGCGUUCGUACGUUUGCAUUAGUUUCAGCGCACUAAGCUAGAAAUGGCCAUCUCAGCGACAUACACAAAAGCGACGUGCGCCUACAUGGUCUUGCCAAUUUCGCUUCACUGAACCUCGUCGCGAUGAGGCGUUGAGUUGGGUCGCUAAUGUUUACAGUACAGCGAAUACCUCCCCACAAAAAAAAAGGGGGAAAACCGAACAACCAGUCGUAAUCUGCAAGGCAGAUCGCGGUGCCCGGUCAGCUUACGAACGACGGUGCAAUAGCAGCAACCAUAUUUGUUUGCGGCUGAAGUUUCAUCAGUGUCGUAUUUUCUGUUGAAGUGCGCAUAAAGUAAAUGUUAAACUUUUAAUCUAAAUUGCUAACUUGAUACCGCAUAUAAAAGGCCGUAAUAUUUAUUGACAUCGAAGAGCAGUAUCGCAGAGAAGGGAACACGGCGGGCGGGAAGAAUAUAAAACUGCGACCGUAGUCAGCCGUAGUUGCGCACAGCACGUGUGCCAUGGCGGCUGCCAUGUCAAGGCGAGGCGUCACGCGAGGCGUGCGUGCGUGUUUGUGACUGAACGAUGUGUUUUUAAGGAACCCGUGGUGUUAGCGCCUGCGCAAUCUCAUUCGUGCGGUAGUACAUUUGGAUAGUUUUUAUCUGUGGCUGCUGUUGUAACUUCAAAACAACGCAAGGCAACUCUUUUACCCCUGUUCCUCGCGGCUUUGUGGAUCUAUCAGCAGGCAUCGAUGUGCAGCGUUUUCCCCGGCGCCGAUUUACCAUUUCGAGGUUUUUUUAACCACUUCCUCAAAAGGACGUCCUUUGGUUGAAGUCAACGAAAAGCUCUCAAUCAAGAUUGCAGGUGGCUACAUCGAAUGACACUUUGUAGACUGCAUCAAAUAAACAUUUGAUGAUGA